AUUGAACGCUGGCGGCAGGCCUAACACAUGCAAGUCGAACGCGUCGCGGACGGGUGAGUAAUGUCUGGGUAACUGCCUGAUGGUGGGGGAUAAAUUCUGGAAACGGUCGCUAAUACCGCAUACCAUCAGAUGUGCCCAUAUGGGAUUAGCGAGUUGGUGGGGUAACGGCUCACCAAGGCGACGAUCCCUAGCUGGUCUGAGAGGAUGACCAGCCACACUGGAACGGAGACACGGCCCAGACUCCUACGGGAGGCAGCAGUGGGGAAUAUUGCACAAUGGGCGCAAGCCUGAUGCAGCCAUGCCGCGUGUAUGAAGAAGGCCUUCGGGUUGUAAAGUACUUUCAGUGGGGAGGCGUUACCCGCAGAAGAAGCACCGGCUAACUCCGUGCCAGCAGCCGCGGUAAUAC
rnacentral:rRNA from 1 species